ACGUCAUCCCACACCAGAGAUGAGGUCAUCGCAGGCAGCGCUCGUCACGUGCGCGGCGCUAUGAUUGGCCACCGGGCCGCGGGGGGGGCGGGGCGAGGGAGGUGCGCAGCGCCGGGGGCUGGGCGAGGGCGGGCCUGACGGCAGCCGGGUCACCGCCACCGCUGCUGCCGCUGCCGCGUCCUCCCGCGCGCGCCUUCCGCUCGAGGUUCUUCCUCCUCCCGCGCCGCCCGCGCCCGCGCCCUCUCCCGACCCUAGGCGGGGUGCGCGUGCCCCACGGGCGGCCCUGAGGGGAAGCGGCAGCGAAGGCUACAGGGGCGCGCAUCGCGAGGGCGCACAAGAGGCGGCCCCGGUGGGCUUGGCUCCGCCGGGUCACGCGUCGGUGGGCUCGCCGGCUGGUGCCCCCGGCCCGGCGCGCUGCGCCGGCGCCUCCACUCGCCUCCUCGGAGGACGGUUCUCCGACGGCCGCGGCAUGGUACCCCAGGUACCUCCAGGUCCAGGUGCCUCCGGUCUCGCAGAUGCUUGUGGAGGCACGCGGGCUGCGACCUGCCGAGAAGAAUCGACCUGGGCGGUCCGGUCGUGGGUACCACUCAGGGCUGACUUGGGGUGGACGGGCCUCCAGGUUCCUUCCACUUGAACAGCCUACGUACUUUCAAGUCCUGGCUUUGUGCUGCCUGCAAAGUGUCUCAUCGGAACUAGCCCUGGAGCCUUGCAUGGAAACCGUGGUGCUUUGGAGAGGAUGCUCACAGAUCCAGAGGUCUGGUCGAAGGCAUGGAAGAGCCCCGUCCAGGGCAGUAGAGGCAAGUAUCCUGCCUCCUGAGGCCUGUGGGUGCCCAGAUCUCUGUUCCCACAGCGUA
rnacentral:lncRNA from 1 species